AAAGACUUGACGGUACUUCACAACAACCUAGAGGAGCCUGUCUAGUAACCGAUACUCCACGAUUAACCCAACCCACCCUAGCCCAACAGUCUAUAUACCGCCGUCGCCAGCUUACCUUGUGAAAGAAAUAAAGUAAGCAAAACAAGCCACCAUUAACACGACAGGUCGAGGUGUAACUAAUGAGUGGGUAAAAGAUGGGCUACAUUUUCUAAUGCAGAAAACACGAAUAAACUAUGAAACUAGAAACUGAAGGCGGAUUUAGCAGUAAGAUAAGAAUAAAAUGCUUAACUGAAACCAACGCAAUGAAGUGCGCACACACCGCCCGUCAUCCCUG
rnacentral:rRNA from 1 species